rnacentral:rRNA from 1 species
CUGGUCUUGACAUCCCAGGAAUCCUGCAGAGAUGCGGGAGUGCCUUCGGGAACCUGGAGACAGGUGCUGCAUGGCUGUCGUCAGCUCGUGUCGUGAUAUGUUGGGUUAAGUCCCGCAACGAGCGCAACCCUUGCCCUUAGUUGCCAUCAUUCAGUUGGGAACUCUAAGGGGACCGCCGGUGACAAACCGGAGGAAGGUGGGGAUGACGUCAAGUCAUCAUGGCCCUUAUGACCAGGGCUACACACGUGCUACAAUGGUCGGUACAGAGGGUCGCCAACCCGCGAGGGGGAGCCAAUCCCUUAAAGCCGAUCGUAGUCCGGAUCGCAGUCUGCAACUCGACUGCGUGAAGUCGGAAUCGCUAGUAAUCGCGAAUCAGCCAUGUCGCGGUGAAUACGUUCCC